rnacentral:rRNA from 1 species
GACAGAGGAUGCAAGCGUUGUCCGGAAUUAUUGGGCGUAAAGAGAAACGUAGGUGGUUUCUUAAGUUCGAUCGUUAAAGACCGGGGCUCAAACCCCGGGAAUGGGAUUGAAAACUGGGAGACUAGAGGAUGUUAGAGGACGGUGGAAUUCCCAGUGGUAGCGGUGAAAUGCGUAGAUAAUUGGGAGGAACACCAGUGGCGGAAAGCGGCCGUCUGGGGACAUUCCUGACACUGGAGGUUCGAAAGCUCGGGGAGCAAACAGGGAUUAGAAAACCCGGGGUAGC